rnacentral:lncRNA from 1 species
UUGAUUUUGUUUCAUCUACAUGCGUGAACAUGCACCAAGUCAAGCCACUUGAAUCAUUCAAAGGAGGAUACCAUCCUAUCAUACUACAUCAUAGUCAUCUCAAAAUUCAUGUUGGCAACCAAGACAAACCAUUAUAAGCUCCCAGCUAAUUAAUCAUGGCAUCAGAAACUAUGAUCUCUAAGUUGUCAUUGCAAACAUGUUUCUUUCACAACAAAGCUGAAUCAGGCACGAUGAGCUAGUCAUAUUUACAAAAA